rnacentral:lncRNA from 1 species
CCCCGCGGUUGUGGGUGUCCCGCGGCGCCGGAAACUGGGCGCACACACCCUCGGAUUGACGUGCGCACGCGCACCGGUUACCUUCAGGAGCGCCGAAGAAGGAAAGAAGAACACAGAGCCCGAGGCAAAGCUUAAGUGCUUACGCUUUUGUCGGGAGGUACAGACCCAGCUCUGCGAGAGCCAGGGGAAAAGGAAGAGAGGCAGGGAAGGAAUGGCAGCAAGUACAAGGUGAUGAAUGACUGCACUGGCCAUUGCUUCAUGAAGAGCCACGAAAAAACAGAGCCGGUUUCUCAGCAGGUGGCUGGCUGCUCAGUCACAAAGGACCUCUUUGGACAGGCUUUAUGGAAAUACUGUGCCUAGGACAGUCGCUCAAAGGCAGGAGGGAGAGAAAAUGCAUCUGCAAGCUCACUUUGUCUUCUUUCUUCUGCUGGUCAAAAUUUGCUGGCUGGGGCAGUUAACGCCCUCACACAUCCGAGUUGUGUCACCUGGCCCCUUUGGUAGCCACUGGGGAAGCCAGAUCUAGGCAUGUGGCCUGAUGGCUCCUGCGGUGGAACCACAUGCUCACACUCAGUCAGUCACCACUGGGAUGCCCUGGGCAGGGCAGGCUGAGUGGCUGGGAGAUAGCUGAGCCUAAGAUAUCUAAGCAAGCACCUGUGAUGUAUGCACUGCAGUGUCCAAAUGUGAAAAAGCAAGAAAGGGAGAUAGAAGCAUAUUUUUUUCUGGAGAGAAGGAGGAAACCACCAGGAGAAUACAAACAGAAAAAAGAUGGAGUUGAGCUCUGUCGCCCAGGCUGGAGUGCAGUGGCACCAUCUCAGCUGACUGUGACCUCCGCCUCCUGGGUUCAAGUGAUUCUCCUGCAUCAGCCUCCCGAGUAGCUGGGACUACAGGUGCACACCACCAUGCCCGGCUAAUUUUUGUAUUUUUAGUAGAGACGGGGUUUUGCCAUGAUGGCCAGGUUUGGUCUCAAACUCCUAACCUCAAGUGAUCCACCCUCCUCAGCCUCCCAAAGUGCUGGGAUUACAGGCGUGAGCCACUGCGCCCCGCCUACUUGAAUUUUUUUUUUUUUUUUUUUUUUUGAGACAGAGUUUUGCUCCUGUUGCCCAGGCUGGAGUGCAACGGCAUGAUCUCGACUCACUGCAACCUCUGCCUCCUGGGUUCAAGUGAUUCUCCUGCCUCAGCCUCCCAAAUAGCUGGGAUUACAGGUGCCCACCACUGUGCCUGGCUGAUUGUAUUUUUAGUAGAGAUGGGGUUUCAUCAUGUUGGUCAGGCUGGUCUUGAACUCCAGACCUCAGGUGAUCGGACUGCCUCGGCCUCCCAAAGUGCUGGGAUUACAGGCAUGACCCACUGUGCCCGGACCUGCUUGAAUUUUUAUGAUGAGCAUGUUGGCAGAUCACGACUGCCAGCUCCGUGACAGCAAGAACCUUGUAUGACUUUUUCAUGAUGGAUGUUCAUCUGUGCCAUCUGUAAAUAUUGAAUAAAUAUUUGUGGAAUACAUGAAUCUAAAAGUGAAUGGAAUGAUAAAGAGGGAAAGGGUCAUGACAUCUACUACAGCAUUUGGCACAGACCCAGGUUUCCCUGGUACUGGUAAUUCCCAGCAGCUUUCUACAAUUCCAAAGCUGUCUGCAGUACUAUCAAGAGAUGACAUGGACUUCAAGGAUCAAACAGGGGAGAAAAAGGCUUAAAAGAAAAACAAGUCUCCAUCAAAGGUAAUAACCACAAUGAGAACUAUACAUAGCUAUGUGCUUAUAGGUCUUAGUUCACAUUCCCCUCAUUAAAAUUAUAGCUCAAGAAAUAAAGGGCUGUUUAAUGACUUGGGUAUAUAAAUAUACUUCAUUUGUAUAUUUUUUACUUGCUAAAAUCUAUCCAAAUUGGUAUUACCUCAAACCAUAAUCUUCUACUGUAUUUUAUAAUUUUACUUUAUUGCCAUGUAUUUUUCCCACUGAUGUUCACAAAUUCACAGGAAACAUCAGCCAUGUACUAAAUAAAAUAUGAAUUGAAUCGACAAAUAGAACUAUAAAUUUAAUUCAAGCACAUGUAAAAUUUAGACCAAAGAAUAAAAAUGUCUAUUAAAAAUACAGCCAAGCAUGGUGGCUCACACCUGUAAUCCCAGCACUUUGGGAGGCCGAGGUGGGUGAAUCAUCUGAGGUCAAGAGUUUGAGACCAGCUGGCCAUUGUGGUGAAACCCCAUCUCUACUAAAAUACAAAAAUUAGCUGGGUGUGAUGGUGGGCACCUGUAAUCCCACUACUUGGGAGGCUGAGGCAGGAGAAUCGCUUGAACCCAGGA